rnacentral:rRNA from 1 species
GAAUUCGCCCUUAGAGUUUGAUCCUGGCUCAGGACGAACGCUGGCGGCGCGCCUAACACAUGCAAGUCGAACGAGCGAGAGGAGGUUUACUUUCUCAAGCGAGUGGCGAACGGGUGAGUAACGCGUGAGGAACCUGCCUCAAAGAGGGGGACAACAGUUGGAAACGACUGCUAAUACCGCAUAAGCCCACGACCCGGCAUCGGGUAGAGGGAAAAGGAGCAAUCCGCUUUGAGAUGGCCUCGCGUCCGAUUAGCUAGUUGGUGAGGUAAUGGCCCACCAAGGCGACGAUCGGUAGCCGGACUGAGAGGUUGAACGGCCACAUUGGGACUGAGACACGGCCCAGACUCCUACGGGAGGCAGCAGUGGGGAAUAUUGCACAAUGGGGGAAACCCUGAUGCAGCGACGCCGCGUGGAGGAAGAAGGUCUUCGGAUUGUAAACUCCUGUUGUUGAGGAAGAUAAUGACGGUACUCAACAAGGAAGUGACGGCUAACUACGUGCCAGCAGCCGCGGUAAAACGUAGGUCACAAGCGUUGUCCGGAAUUACUGGGUGUAAAGGGAGCGCAGGCGGGAAGACAAGUUGGAAGUGAAAUCCAUGGGCUCAACCCAUGAACUGCUUUCAAAACUGUUUUUCUUGAGUAGUGCAGAGGUAGGCGGAAUUCCCGGUGUAGCGGUGGAAUGCGUAGAUAUCGGGAGGAACACCAGUGGCGAAGGCGGCCUACUGGGCACCAACUGACGCUGAGGCUCGAAAGUGUGGGUAGCAAACAGGAUUAGAUACCGUGGGUAGUCCACACUGUAAACGAUGAUUACUAGGUGUUGGAGGAUUGACCCCUUCAGUGCCGCAGUUAACACAAUAAGUAAUCCACCUGGGGAGUACGACCGCAAGGUUGAAACUCAAAGGAAUUGACGGGGGCCCGCACAAGCAGUGGAGUAUGUGGUUUAAUUCGACGCAACGCGAAGAACCUUACCAAGUCUUGACAUCCUGCGACGCACAUAGAAAUAUGUGUUUCCUUCGGGACGCAGAGACAGGUGGUGCAUGGUUGUCGUCAGCUCGUGUCGUGAGAUGUUGGGUUAAGUCCCGCAACGAGCGCAACCCUUAUGGUCAGUUACUACGCAAGAGGACUCUGGCCAGACUGCCGUUGACAAAACGGAGGAGGGUGGGGAUGACGUCAAAUCAUCAUGCCCUUUAUGACUUGGGCUACACACGUACUACAAUGGCGUUAAACAAAGAGAAGCAAGACCGCGAGGUGGAGCAAAACUCAGAAACAACGUCCCAGUUCGGACUGCAGGCUGCAACUCGCCUGCACGAAGUCGGAAUUGCUAGUAAUCGCAGAUCAGCAUGCUGCGGUGAAUACGUUCCCGGGCCUUGCACACACCGCCCGUCA